rnacentral:rRNA from 1 species
GCAACUCGAGUGCAUGAAGCUGGAAUCGCUAGUAAUCGCGGAUCAGAAUGCCGCGGUGAAUACGUUCCCGGGUCUUGUACACACCGCCCGUCACACCAUGGGAGUCGGGAAUGCCCGAAGCCGGUGGCCCAAUCGAAAGAAGGGAGCCGUCGAAGGCAGGCCGGGAUGACUGGGGUGAAGUCGUAACAAGGUAAC